rnacentral:rRNA from 1 species
GACGAACGCUGGCGGCGUGCUUAACACACGCAAGUCGAACGAUGGACCCGGAGCUUGCUCCGGCGGAUUAGUGGCGAACGGGUGAGUAACACGUGAGUAACCUGCCCUUGACUCUGGGAUAACUGCGGGAAACUGUAGCUAAUACAGGAUACGACCCUCGGCGGCAUCGCCAGGGGGUGGAAAGAAUUUCGGGCAAGGAUGGACUCGCGGCCUAUCAGCUAGUUGGUGAGGUAACGGCUCACCAAGGCGACGACGGGUAGCCGGCCUGAGAGGGUGACCGGCCACACUGAGAGUGAGACACGGCCCAGACUCCUACGGGAGGCAGCAGUGGGGAAUAUUGCACAAUGGGCGCAAGCCUGAUGCAGCAACGCCGCGUGCGGGAUGACGGCCUUCGGGUUGUAACCUCUUUUAGUAGGGAAGAAGCGAAAGUGACGGUACCUGCAGAAAAAGCACCGGCUAACUACGUGCCAGCCGCCGCAGUAA